GAGGCCGUGCUUUGGCUUCUACUUUAUUCUUCAGUUCCCGCCCAAGUGUGCACGCGGAGUUUGCUGCUCCAGGCUGUGGGGGGCACGAAAUGACCGUGAGCAGGCGGUCCCCCUGUAGGGACCCGGCUCCGGUGAGGUGUGACCACGCACAGUUAAACACGGCGUGUGGCUCUCGUAUGGACCCGCGCUCCACACAGUGCGGCCCGAGUGCCCGAGGUGUGAGACACGUUCAGGGAUUCAGACUGGGUCUUCGGAAACCCGUCGCAAGUUGAGAAAGUUUGUCAGCAGGAUCAGUCCUUGGAACAUGGGAAGAAGCACUGAUAACCCCAGGAAGAAAACCGAUGCUUCUCCAGAGGUAGUUUUAAGAAGCACAGCGGCUCAUCUUAGCCUGAGAACAGUGAAGGGGACAAGAGAUGUGUGGCCCAGAAACGCAGAUGAAAACCCCGUUUUUCUGUGCUCACAGGGCUGUUUGCACAAGACCUACACACUGAAAGAUUGAGAGCCACGUGGGCUUGAUGUAUGCAACCUACUCUCAACUGAUUCAGGAAAAAAUAGAUGUAAAUAUAAAUAAAGGAAA